CCUACGGGUGGCAGCAGUGGGGAAUAUUGGGCAAUGGACGCAAGUCUGACCCAGCAACGCCGCGUGAAGGAAGAAGGCUUUCGGGUUGUAAACUUCUUUUAAGGGGGAAGAGCAGAAGACGGUACCCCUUGAAUAAGCCACGGCUAACUACGUGCCAGCAGCCGCGGUAAUCCGGAGGUGGCAGGCGUUGUCCGGAUUUACUGGGUGUAAGGGGCGUGCAGCCGGAGAGAAAAGUCAGAUGGGAAAUCCACGGGCUCAACCCGUGAACUGCAUUUGAGACUGUUUCCCUGGAGUGUCGGAGAGGUAAGCGGAAUGCCUGGUGUAGCGGUGAAAUGCGUAGAUAUAAGGAAGAACACCGGUUGCGAAGGCGGAUUACUGGACGACAACUGACGGUGAGGCGCGAAAGCGUGGGGAGCAAACAGGAUUAGAUACCCUGGUAGUC
rnacentral:rRNA from 1 species